rnacentral:rRNA from 1 species
AUACGUAGGGGGCGAGCGUUGUCCGGAAUGAUUGGGCGUAAAGGGCGCGUAGGCGGCCCGGUAAGUCUGGAGUGAAAGUCCUGUUUUUAAGAUGGGAAUUGCUUUGGAUACUGUCGGGCUUGAGUGCAGGAGAGGUAAGUGGAAUUCCCAGUGUAGCGGUGAAAUGCGUAGAGAUUGGGAGGAACACCAGUGGCGAAGGCGACUUACUGGACUGUAACUGACGCUGAGGCGCGAAAGUGUGGGGAGCAAACAGGAUUAGAUACCCUGGUAGUCCACACUGUAAACGAUGAAUGCUAGGUGUAGGGGGUAUCGACCCCUUCUGUGCCGCAGUCAACACAAUAAGCAUUCCGCCUGGGGAGUACGGCCGCAAGGUUGAAACGCAAAGGAAUUGACGGGG